rnacentral:lncRNA from 1 species
UUGCAUAGUCACGAUCACUUUUGUGAUGCGGGAGCAUUCCAUAUAGCAGCGGAACCAACGCACGAGAUUGAGGCUGCCGAUGUCAGAGCAUGUAAAAGGAUAGUGAUGACAAUCACGUCAUCGGGGCGGACCGGGUGGCGGCGAAGGAGUAGAGAAAAGAACAAAGGCAAAAAAAAAAUUGGAGAAAAGGAAGAAGAUGAUAAAGAAUGAAGAAGAAAGAAAAAAGAUAAGAAAUACAUAUG